UUUGGUACUAAUUGCAGGAAGGUGGAGCAAAAAGAGAUAAAAGAUGUGAUUUUUCAAGAGUUUUCUAAUUCAAAAUGGAGUCUACGUGGAUUAUUGACGGAAGAUUAGGAGGAAGUUUAUUUGGUUUCAAAAAGUUAAAAAUUAGGAAAAUCAAUUCCUUCAAUUUCGUGGCUACCAAAAGGAAAAAGAGGGAACUAUUAGACUCCUAGUAGGUCUACUUGGCUUGGCAUGAAUUUCUGUUUGGCUUUGCUAUGUGGGGACCAUCGAGAGAAAGCCACGGUGGUGGACCUUUGUAUUUGGACUUUGGCUAAUUUGGACUAGAAACAAAAUAGCAUUGUAAUUGGUCUUGAUUUUGCUCCUUUAGCCGACUGAGAAAAUAGGAAAAGAAAAGCCGGAUCCCGCGUGAUUAAGAGUUGAAGGCAGCAACAAAUUCGGGAGGAACAAUUCGGCUGGCACUUAGGUCUUUGUACUUUUCCUUUUUAGCCGACUUUGGGGGAGGGCAAUUGCUUUGAUUUUGAUUUUUAUCUUUUACUUUUCUUCCUUGGCUGAUUUGGCCAGGAACAAUUUGGUAAGAUUCAGAUAGCUUUUUCGCAAGGUUGUUCUCCAUUAAUGGAGGACUAACCUCCUAAUGCUAGUCAAGGGGACAACUGAAGAUUUGGUUCAACAAUGACUGUGAGAUCUAAUUUAUUUUAAUUGCUUCCUCCAUUUAUUGGUAUUCAUAUGUUUCCUGCUUUUAACCGUUAUAGCUCGUGUGGAUGAUUGAUUAGUGCGCAAUAAUUAAUUAUUCAUAGAGGCUAUUUUGCUAGAUAGGGGUAAUUGAAUCCGUAAUUGUUCGUUACCUCUGUGUUAGUAGCAAUUGGCGUAAUUGGAUUUACGUCAGGGGACCAUGUGAUCUAGUUUAAAUAAACCCUCGUAGCGUGUUUGUUAGUUAGGAUUGGGCCUUUCUAAUUGAUAAUGCAAUCUAGAAAUUAAAUCCUACGGUCGUACCUAGGGUUGUUUUUGGGUUAGAGAAAUAGUUAACGGUCAUACCUUAACUAUCGAGAAAUUAAGGAAAGGUUGGUUGUUUAUCGCGUGCAUGACAACUAUAACUGAUCUAUUAAUAAAUGUUGGAAUUAUUUUUGCAUCAAUGAUCAGUGCAUGACCCAUUUCUGAAGUGUACCCUUGGUUAGAGUUUCUCUUAGUUAUUUCUUUUAAUUAAUUAUUUUCUGCAGUUAAAUUGUUUAGUUAGCAUUUAAUCCUAAAACCCCCUAUACUUUGAACUCUAGAAGAAACUAAUUAUCCCCAUUCCCUGUGGAUUCGACCCUACUCACCGCUAUAUACAAAAUCUGUAUUUUUCUUGAGUAGGUAAUUAUUAUUGCACAGGUUCGGCACCUGUCAAUUUUUGGCGCCGUUGCCGGGGACUGGUGUUUGUUUAAUUUGUUUCUUUUUGAGUUCAUUUUAUUUUCAUUUCCAUUUUUUUCCCUCUUAUUUUUUUUUCUUUACUAGUUUAUGGCUGCUAACACUCCAUAUUUUGGUGAUAGACUGGAUUUUAUUUCCAGGGAAGGCAAUGAGGCUUGUUUUUUUGCAAAGUUUGCAUAUUCAGAGGCACUAAACUCUAUUAGAGAAAGAAUGGCUGCUGCAACCUGUAAAAUUUGUUAUGCCAGGGAUCAUUCAACCGAUAUGUGCCCCGAAUAUCAAGAUAAUCUGAGUGUCCCACUCAAUAAUUAUGGAGAUUUUUCACCCUGGUCUCAAACGUGGUAUAACCCUAAUCCAAACGGGUAUGAUCAAGGAUGGUGGGAUAACUCCAGUUAUAAUUAUACAACAGGGCCAAUGAAUUUUCAGCAGUAUGAGUCUCAAGAAUCAUCAUCUAUGUCAGGUAUGUCUCUUGAAGAAAUAGUUAAAUCAAUAGCUACUAAUACAUAUCAAUUCCAACAGGAGACACAAAUGAGAAAUGGGAUGAUGAAGGAUGCAAUGAGUAAUCUGGCAGAUCAAAUAUGUCUAUUGACAUCCAGAAUAAAUCGAUUGGCUUCUCAAAUUGAAGAAUUGCCCUCGAAAACCAUUGUUGAUUUUGAAGAAAAUGAGAGUGCAAUUUGCUUGACUAGUGAUGAGGAGAUGCAAGAGUGUCAAAAUGAGAGAUCUACAGAUGCAGUUGAAAAAGAAGCCGAAAAGGAAGAAAUGGAACCCCAACCGCAACCCAUUCAAGUGAAAGAAUCCAGUGAAGAAUCAUCAAAUGUGGUGACACCACCUCCAUUCCCUAAUCCACAUUUUCUUAACUCUUACUCUAUGAUUUCUGUUAAUGAUAUUGAUUUUGUUAUACCGGAAGUUUUUGAGUCUCAUGGCAGAAAUGAGUAAAGAGUAGCUAUGGUCAAAUAUCUUGAACCGUUGAGUGCUCUUGAUGGAGGAGUGGAUGAAGAAUUGAGAUCACUGCUUGAUUAUUUGGCGCCAUCUACUAGUCCAUGGAAGACCGUAACUCGUGUACUCAAGAAUUACUCUAUUUACGAGAGCUAUCAGGAUUACAUAGAAGAUGAAGCACUGAAGCGAGUUACAUGAUUUUAUCCUCCAUGAAUACACAGGACAAUGUCUAGCCAAAGACAUUAAAGAAAGGCGCUGCUUGGGAGGCAACCCAAGGCUUUUGUUUUAAUUUUCUUAUGUUUUUGGAGUUUUUGUUAAGUGUUAGUUGCAUUUAGUGAUUUGUUGGUUUUGUGGCAGGAAGUUGCCAAUUAGACGUGCCCACGCUAGGUGGUCACGCCUAAAGAAGGAAGUUUUAAUUUGGCGGACAGAAAACUAACCAGCAGUUAGGCGUGCCCACGUCAGAUGGUCACGCUUAAGGAAAACAAUUUUCGUCUGCAGUCAGAAGACUCUAUAGUAGUUAGGCGUGCCCACGCCAAGUGGUCACGCUUAAGGAGUUUAAUUUCCGUGGGUUGGUCAGAAGUUUCAAGGGCAGUUAGGCGCGCCCACGCCUAACACAGGGUUGCAAGACCGCAACCAAAGGACUUCAAAUUCCACUGCCACCGUUGCACUGUUCAACGUGGGUCGUCAGUUCCUGAUUAUCGCUGCUUAUCGCGCAUAAUUCUUCCUCAUCUAUCGUGAGCCACCUGAAAUCCUUAGCUGGCGAUCAUAGCCUUCAUCGUCAUCAGUUUCGCCAUCGAGCUCUACAUGUCUUUUGCCUCUCACCUACAGUUGUGCCACAACCCCCCUUUGAUGAUCAGGGAAGUUUUGUUUUCCCUUUUUAUUUUGAAUUUUAUUCUUUAUUACUUACAUUGGGGACAAUGUAAGAUUUAGGUGUGGGGGGAGUAAUAUAUUGAUAAUAUAUUGAAAAAGUGCAAUGGUAGGCAUUUUUGUUGGAAUUUUUUGUUUGACUUUGUCGAAUUUUGUCCAAUUUUUUGUCUAUCUUUGUGCAUAUUUGUGAUUAUUCCUGAUAAACGAGGGUUAGAUGUCUCAAAUUUUUCUAUUGCCAAGAUUUUACACUUUAAGGUGUUGAGUAUAACAUGGUUGAGUUUAAGAGUAUCUCUUUGGUGAAUAUUUGAGAUUUUGUGACUUUUACACUUUUUGGUUAACUUCUCUAAGUAUUGUAAAUAUUUGUCUAGCAUUUUUUUUUGUGCAAAUUGGUUCAGCUAUUAAUCUUAGUUCUCCAUGUUUAAAAAAUAAAGCUGGUUUGUGUGGUAUUUAAUUUUAUUUUUGGUGCUUAUUUAUGAAUAGUAUUAGGCUAUACUCCGCUAAUAUCGUUGCCUAGUAACCGAGAGUUUUCACCACAAGUGUCGACUUUCGUGUCAAAAAGCAACGAUAGCUAUGAGUAUGUGGUUUUUAAGCGAUGUUGGCUGAGUAACCGGGCUCCUUCAUUUGGCCAAUGUCGGAGUUCGCGUCAAAACGUUUGAAUGGCUAAAAACUAAGCAUUCCCCCGAAAAAAAAAAAAAUCAAUCAAGCGUGGGGAUAUUUUAGAAAAAAGUGCUAAUAGUGAAAAAUGUGAAAGUGCUUGAAUGAAUUGUUAGCCCGCUGAUUCAUGAAUUUUAAUGUUGAGGUUUGGCUUAAUAGUCGAACCAUUUGCUUAUGGAUGCUGGUUGAAUAUUUUAUAUUCUUAGAUUAGUUAGUCAUAAAUUGGAAGAGUUCUUAAUCUUGAAGGCUAACUGGAGAGAUAUUGCUUGAGAAAUUACCACUAAUACUUGACAUAUGUUUUAAUUGUAUCUUGGCAAUAGAAGAUUUGAGCAAUAGCUAUUGUUUGAAUUUGAUUUGUUGUUCUCAUGCUUGAGGACAAGCAUGGUUUAGAUGUGGGGGAAAUUGAUAGGUCAUAAUUUGUUGCUAAAUUUAUAAUUAUUUUUCGCUAGAUUUUAGCCAAAUGUUAUUUUAAUUGAUUGAUUCUACUUAUAUUUGGUACUAAUUGCAGGAAGGUGGAGCAAAAAGAGAUAAAAGAUGUGAUUUUUCAAGAGUUUUCUAAUUCAAAAUGGAGUCUACGUGGAUUAUUGACGGAAGAUUAGGAGGAAGUUUAUUUGGUUUCAAAAAGUUAAAAAUUAGGAAAAUCAAUUCCUUCAAUUUCGUGGCUACCAAAAGGAAAAAGAGGGAACUAUUAGACUCCUAGUAGGUCUACUUGGCUUGGCAUGAAUUUCUGUUUGGCUUUGCUAUGUGGGGACCAUUGAGAGAAAGCCACAGUGGUGGACCUUUGUAUUUGGACUUUGGCUAAUUUGGACUAGAAACAAAAUAGCAUUGUAAUUGGUCUUGAUUUUGCUCCUUUAGCCGACCGAGAAAAUAGGAAAAGGGAAGCCGGAUCCCGCGUGAUUAAGAGUUGAAGGCAGCAACAAAUUCGGGAGGAACAAUUCGGCUGGCACUUAGGUCUUUGUACUUUUCCUUUUUAGCCGACUUUGGGGAGGACAAUUGCUUUGAUUUUGAUUUUCAUCUUUUACUUUUCUUCCUUGGCCGAUUUGGCCAGGAACAAUUUGGUAAGAUUCAGAUAGCUUUUUCGCAAGGUUGUUCUCAAUUAAUGGAGGACUAACCUCCUAAUGCUAGUCAAGGGGAUAACUGAAGAUUUGGUUCAACAAUGACUGUGAGAUCUAAUUUAUUUUAAUUGCUUCCUCC
rnacentral:lncRNA from 1 species